AUGGUGGCCGGCAGGGUCAAGGCGGCCAUGGGCUUCCAGCGCAGCCCGGCCACGCCCAAGACCUCCUCCUCCCGCAAGGCACCGGCACCGCCACCGUCGCAGAACACCGCCCCCGUCCCGGCGGCGGCGCGGCGGCCCUCGGGCCAGUGCUCGCCCGCGCCGCCCAGCUCGGGGGGCAAGGGCGGCGGCGGCGGCUCCUUCGCGCGCUCCUUCGGGGUCUACUUCCCGCGCUCCUCCGCGCAGGUGCAGCCGGCGCGCGCGGCCACGGCGCCGGACGCCGCCGAGCUCGCCCGCCUCGUCGAGGAGCUGCAGGAGCGCGAGUCCCGCCUGCGCACCGAGCUGCUCGAGCACAAGAUCCUCAAGGAGACCGUCGUCAUCGUGCCCUUCCUCGAGACCGAGCUCGGCCGGUGCCGGGACGCCAUGUCGCGGCUCCAGGCAGAGAACGCACGCCUGCGCGCCGAGCUCGACGCCGCCGUGGCGAAUGUCUCCAGUAAAGAGCAGAGGAUUGCCGAGAUGGAGAGGCGGAUGGCGGAGAUGGCGAGGCCGCCGCAGCGUGGUGGCGCCGACGAUUGCUCGUCGUCGGACGGCUCCACCAAGGCGGGAGGAGGCGACACGGCGGCCAAGCCAGCGAGCAAGCCCGUUCUCCCUCCUCCACCACCACCUCCGCCGCCUCCAAUGCGGACACACGCCAAGCCCAAGUCGUACUUCUCCGGCUCGUCCCGCGCCUCGCCGGCCACCUCCUCCUCGUCCGGCUCGUCCACGCCGUCCUGCUCCUCCGACACGGCGGCAUCCACGGGCCGCAAGCCGGAGCUCUCCAAGCUGCCCCCGAUACCCCCGCCACCGCCGCCGCCGCCCCCACCGUCAAUGCCGGCGCGAGCAACCCGGAGCGCGAGCGCGAGCUCGUCGCCGUCGACCUCAAGCGGCGCGGCGCCGGCGCCCCCGCCCCCGCCUCCCCCACCACCCCCUUCUGGCCCGUGCGUGCGGCGCGUCCCGGAGGUCGUCGAGUUCUACCACUCGCUGAUGCGGCGCGACUCCAAGAGGGACUGCGGGGGCGGCGCGUGCCCCGAGGCCGGCGGUACGGGCGGCUCCGGCGCCGCGAACGCCCGGGACAUGAUCGGCGAGAUCGAGAACCGCUCCUCGCACCUCAUCGCGAUCAGGUCGGACGUGGAGAGGCAGGGCGACUUCAUCCGCUUCCUCAUCAAGGAGGUGGAGGGCGCCGCGUUCGCCGACAUCGACGACGUCGUCACCUUCGUCAAGUGGCUCGACGUCGAGCUCUCACGCCUCGUGGAUGAACGGGCAGUGCUCAAGCACUUCGACUGGCCGGAGCAGAAGGCGGACGCGCUCCGCGAGGCGGCGUUCGGCUACCGCGACCUCAAGAAGGUCGAGGCAGAGGCCGCGUCAUUCUGCGACGAUCCGCGGCAGCCCUGCGCUUCUGCUCUCAAGAAGAUGCAGGCCCUCUUUGAGAAGUUGGAGCAUGGGGUGUACAGCCUGUCCCGUGUGCGCGACGGCGCCAUGAACCGGUACCGCGGGUUCCAGAUCCCAUGGGAGUGGAUGCAGGACACCGGAAUUGUCAGUCAGAUAAAAAUUCAGUCAGUGAAACUAGCAAGGAAGUAUCUGAGAAGGGUUUCCUCCGAGCUCGAGGCCACGCAGGGCGGCCCCGACGAAGAAGAGCUCAUGCUCCAGGGAGUCCGGUUCGCCUUUAGAGUGCACCAGUUCGCGGGCGGAUUCGACGGCGACACGAUGCGGGCCUUCCAGGAGAUCAAGGAGAAGGCGAACGCGCUCCAGUCACAGCGCGAUCAGCAGCACCUGCAACAGCAAAGGCUCGCCGCUGGCAGAAGCUGA
rnacentral:rRNA from 1 species